AUUGAACGCUGGCGGCAGGCCUAACACAUGCAAGUCGGACGGUAGCACAGAGAGCUUGCUCUCGGGUGACGAGUGGCGGACGGGUGAGUAAUGUCUGGGAAACUGCCCGAUGGAGGGGGAUAACUACUGGAAACGGUAGCUAAUACCGCAUAACGUCUUCGGACCAAAGUGGGGGACCUUCGGGCCUCACACCAUCGGAUGUGCCCAGAUGGGAUUAGCUAGUAGGUGGGGUAAUGGCUCACCUAGGCGACGAUCCCUAGCUGGUCUGAGAGGAUGACCAGCAACACUGGAACUGAGACACGGUCCUGAGUCCUACGGGAGGCAGCAGUGGGGAAUAUUGCACAAUGGGCGCAAGCCUGAUGCAGCCAUGCCGCGUGUAUGAAGAAGGCCUUCGGGUUGUAAAGUACUUUCAGCGGGGAGGAAGGCGAUGAGGUUAAUAACCGCAUCGAUUGACGUUACCCGCAGAAGAAGCACCGGCUAACUCCGUGCCAGCCGCCGCCGUAA
rnacentral:rRNA from 1 species